rnacentral:rRNA from 1 species
UACGUAGGGUGCAAGCGUUGUCCGGAAUUAUUGGGCGUAAAGAGCUCGUAGGCGGUUUGUCGCGUCUGCUGUGAAAACUCAGGGCUUAACCCUGAGCUUGCAGUGGGUACGGGCAGACUAGAGUGCGGUAGGGGAGACUGGAAUUCCUGGUGUAGCGGUGAAAUGCGCAGAUAUCAGGAGGAACACCGGUGGCGAAGGCGGGGUCUCUGGGCCGUAACUGACGCUGGAGGA